CUCUCUUUAGGCUAGCGGUUAAGUCGCUGCGUUUGGGGCGCAGACACCGAAGGUUCGAAUCCUUCAGGAGAGACCA
rnacentral:tRNA from 1 species